AUAUUCUGUGAGCAGGAAAGAGGGGGAUCGCAAGACCUCUUGCUUUAGGAGCGGCCGAUGUCGGAUUAGCUAGUUGGUGAGGUAAAGGCUCACCAAGGCGACGAUCCGUAGCGGGUCUGAGAGGAUGAUCCGCCACACUGGGACUGAGACACGGCCCAGACUCCUACGGGAGGCAGCAGUGGGGAAUUUUGGACAAUGGGCGCAAGCCUGAUCCAGCCAUGCCGCGUGAGUGAAGAAGGCCUUCGGGUUGUAAAGCUCUUUCGGUGGGGAAGAAAUUGCUUCGGUUAAUACCUGGAGUAGAUGACGGUACCCGCAUAAGAAGCACCGGCUAACUACGUG
rnacentral:rRNA from 1 species